rfam:Camelus ferus unplaced genomic scaffold scaffold595, whole genome shotgun sequence.
ACAAAGGCUCUUUUCAGAGCCACCCACCUUUUCCUUUUGAAGAGUU